rnacentral:misc_RNA from 1 species
GAAAUGCGAUAAGUAAUGUGAAUUGCAGAAUUCAGUGAAUCAUCGAAUCUUUGAACGCACAUUGCGCCCGGCAGCAAUCUGCCGGGCAUGCCUGUCCGAGCGUCAUUUCUGCCCUCGAGCGCGGUUCGGCCCCUAGCGGGCCGGCCGCCGCCCGGUGUUGGGGCGCUGCGGGCCCUCGUGCCCACAGGCCCUGAAAUGAAGUGGCGGUCCCGCCGCGGCGCCCCCUGCGUAGUAGUAAAGCACCUCGCAUCGGGUCCCGGCGGAGGCCAGCCGUCGAACCUCUCUUUUGAUGGUUUGACCUCGGAUCAGGUAGGGUUACCCGCUGAACUUAAGC